rnacentral:rRNA from 1 species
UACAGAGGUCUCAAGCGUUGUUCGGAUUCAUUGGGCGUAAAGGGCGCGUAGGCGGCGGGGUAAGUCGGGUGUGAAAUCUCAGAGCUCAACUCUGAAACUGCACUCGAUACUGCUCUGCUUGAGGACUGGAGAGGAGACUGGAAUUCACGGUGUAGCAGUGAAAUGCGUAGAUAUCGUGAGGAAGACCAGUGGCGAAGGCGGGUCUCUGGACAGUUCCUGACGCUGAGGGGCGAAGGCCAGGGGAGCAAACGGG